rnacentral:rRNA from 1 species
UACGGAGGGUGCAAGCGUUAAUCGGAAUUACUGGGCGUAAAGCGCGCGUAGGCGGCAAGUUAAGUUGGGUGUGAAAGCCCCGGGCUCAACCUGGGAACUGCAUUCAAAACUGGCUAGCUAGAGUACAGCAGAGGAUAGUGGAAUUUCCGGUGUAGCGGUGAAAUGCGUAGAGAUCGGAAGGAACACCAGUGGCGAAGGCGACUGUCUGGGCUGAUACUGACGCUGAGGUGCGAAAGCGUGGGGAGCAAAC